rnacentral:rRNA from 1 species
AUUGAACGCUGGCGGCAGGCCUAACACAUGCAAGUCGAACGCGUGGCGGACGGGUGAGUAAUGUCUGGGAAACUGCCCGAUGGAGGGGGAUAACUCCUGGAAACGGUAGCUAAUACCGCAUACCAUCGGAUGUGCCCCGAUGGGAUUAGCUAGUAGGGGGGGUAACGGCUCACCUAGGCGACGAUCCCUAGCGGGUCUGAGAGGAUGACCAGCAAAACUGGAACUGAGACACGGUCCAGACUGCUACGGGAGGCAGCAGUGGGGAAUAUUGCACAAUGGGCGCAAGCCUGAGGCAGCCAUGCCGCGUGUAUGAAGAAGGCCUUCGGGUUGUAAAGUACUUUCAGCGAGGAGGCGUUACUCGCAGAAGAAGCACCGGCUAACUCCGUGCCAGCAGCCGCGGUAAUUC